rnacentral:lncRNA from 1 species
GUUAUUGCUUUCGUAUGUUGUUUUAUGAACUUCACCGAGGUAAGUGGACAAUAAAGGAUUUUAUUAUUGAUAAAAGAAUUUGUUAUAAAUUAUGCUCCAUUGGUCUUUUUGUGUUUUCUACCCACUUUUACCUCCGUGGCGGUGAGAUAGGGUGAUGUCUUUACUAGGCUAGUGUAGCUCAUUCCUUAUUUAACCAUUUCAGAUCAAGAAG